ACCUGGGUGGCUCAGUGGUUGAGUGUCUGCCUUUAGCUCAGAUCGUGAUCCCCAGGUU
rnacentral:tRNA from 1 species